GAAUACGAAGCGAUAAAUUGCAAUUAGUUUCGACCUAAUCUUAGAUGUCUUACAUCCCUAUUCU
rnacentral:tRNA from 1 species